UUUCCGUAGGUGAACCUGCGGAAGGAUCAUUAUUGAAUAUACUUGAUGGGUUGUAGCUGGCUCUCCGGAGCAUUGUGCACACCUGUCUUGUUUUUUUAUUCAUCCACCUGUGCACUUUUUGUAGUCUUCUAGGGAUUGAGAGCAGCCAACUAUCGAGUCUUCUCGGAUGUGAGGAAUGCUUGCGCAAAAAAAAAGUGCAGCUCUCUUCAAAUGGUUGUGAACCUUCCCUGGAGUCUAUGUUUUUCAUAUACCACAUAGCAUGUUGUAGAAUGUAUUCAAUGGGCCUUUGUGCCUAUAAAUGAUCUAUACAACUUUCAGCAACGGAUCUCUUGGCUCUC
rnacentral:misc_RNA from 1 species